CAGGCCUACUUGAUGAAGAAAUCAGAGACGCGCGUUGUCAUGGCAUUCGGCAUUUAUGACGUAAUGAUAAAGUAGACAGCAAUGUUCUAUAUCAAUUUAGCGCCAUUCGCGACACCAUCUUUGUCGCUUUCUCCCAAAUUCCCAUUUCUGAUCGGGUUCUAUCAUCUGAGUCGUCUGCGGUCCAAAAUUAUUAUUUUACGUGCGAGUGUUAUAUAAGAUCAGUUAUUUUGGACUACAUCAAAUCUACCAUCAAGGGAAAGUAUGGAGACUCCGGAAAGUGACCAGUUCAAUUCUACUCAGGAAAUGCAGUGUCCAUCAAUUGUGGGCAGGCGAAGUGUGGAGAUGAAAAGUGUCGCGGAGGAGUUCUUCUGUCUCACUGAUGAGACGGACCAAGGGAGGAUGAGUGUGUCAACACGUGGAGCCAGUAUGAGGAGCAGCCACACUCCUGGACACGGCAAACGGAGUGAAUCUGUGCUGCGCAGGUGAGUACUUCCCGUGUAUUGGCGUGCUAGUUAAGUAUAGGUAGCAGCGUCCCGGACUGGUCUCGGAGUAGUAGGCGUGUCGAAAGAAAUGGGGAAAAAUACAUUUUGAUUGGACAGGGUUUUUGCCAGUGCCACGGUUUAGAGUAGCCUAUUUUGUUCAGUCGCUUUCCGGAAGUGCAUGGAGGAUGCUAAAGCAUUUUUAAUCACAUACAACUCAAACUUUUAUGAAAGCAAACUUGGCAAAUUGUUACCGUUGUACUAAGUGCCAUGAACAGUAUUGUUCAGUCUCAAUAAUGUCCACAUACACACCUAACUUGUAUUAAAGCAAUCGUGACGAAACAUGAAGAUCUGCCUUCAUGGUAACCUAAUUGUAACCCCCUGAUUUUGUAACGCGCUAGUAUAAGACGGGUAUCAAUGUAGGCAAUUUUCCCUGGAAGCUCACUUAGUAAAUUGGUCGUCAACGGCUUGUCAGCAAACUUGCAGGCAGGCACGCAACCCAUGUCUGCCCCUGUGUUUAGAAAUGGGGCAUCGACAAGUUUAAUAAUGACAUUGCGUACACUAGCCUAUACAAUUGCAAUGAAAUGGGAUACAUGUAAAAUGUUCACAACAUGACAGCAUGUUAAGAUACGUGCAUUUACAUGCAAUGCUUUUCCACUGCCUGAGUUAUUUAACGACACCACCAUUCUGAGUUUCCGAAACGUCCUCAAAUUAAUUUCGAUGCGCAUUCAUACACAGUCAUGUUUCCACAAAUCUCUGCACUCGCUGACAGAAAGUCAGACCAAUACAUGUGCGCUUUCGACACACCCAGUCUCUGGCCGCCAUAUUGGGCUGCAGCUAUCCCCUUCUCAUGCUAGUAUUUACAGUAAUUGGCCAACAUAGGUCAUGUACUGGUGCUUUCAAGACAACUGGGAACUCGGGAGAAACGAUGUCAUAUCAUGACGUCAGUGAUCUUCAGGUCAGGAAGUCAGAGCUCGAGAAAGCUACCCGAGUUCCCUUGGAUUGUUCAAAACUAUUUUUGUCUUGAACGCUCGGGAAGUUGGAGAAUUCCGAGUUCCCAGUUGUUUUGAACGCGGCAUUACGAAUCAAGAGACUUCUUUCAGGACUGUGACCUUGGAUUAUAAUGAUGGUGAUGACUGUGAUGAUACAGAGGGAAUCGCUGAACAUGCAACAAAACCAGAAGUCACAGAAGAAUGGAUGUCAGUCAUGGGGGCAAAACUCCCAGAGUUACCAGUUCAUAAAAAUAUCUCAAGAACGAAAUGUGAGUCACCAAAAGAAUAUAUCGAGCUCCAAAGUGAUAAAGGGAUGAGUGUACCAGAAACGCAGACAAGGAUGAAAGAUCAGGCCAAGAUACUGUUACCACUAAAGCCUUUCAGUGAGGGAUAUGAGGCUGCAUUCCUCAGGGACAGAAUGCGAAGGCUCUGCAGAAGAUCAGGACCUCCUUUCUUGCUGUUCUCCCCUACGGAAAGCCUGGGGGACAUACUGUACAGGAAAACCAAGCAUGUGUUUGACUACACAGUCACGGACAUGAAAGACAAAAAGCCCGAUGUUUCAAGGUGUGGUUCCAAUCUAAACCAGUGUGUUAAACCAGCCCUUCCAGUACGGAAGGGCUUCAAUGUAUCCACAUCUAGGUACAGCCAGAGAAGGGUACAAUCAAUUGAUCAGAUGACGGUGAUCAGAAAAGAUCAUGUCGGUAGGCCUUUACUGAUGCUGAAAGGCAAUGCAAGUCUAACCAACAGUGAUGGAAGCAACAACACGGAUUCAUUUGCUUAUUCAUCCAGACUCACAAAGGGAAAACCAUCAACCUCCUCUCAGCCAGGACCUGUCAUCAGGAUCCCACCAGUAUUAACCAGGAAGCAUUCUGACAUCAUCAGAGAGGAAAGAAAGAGGCACUACUACAAAGACCUGUGUCAGCAGGUGGAGGAGAAGAGACAACAAAAAGCAAGGGAGAGGAGAAGGAUUACCGCCGCCGAACAAACUAAUAAUUAUACACAAGAAUGGUCACUGAUAGUGAUUGACUCAAUUGGAAGGACGGACAUUGACAGAUUGCACUUCAAUCGCCUUGUCAUUGGCAGCACAAUGAGACAAUGCAGUUCUGCACCUGGGGGAUGCCAGGGAGCGGAGCCCCAAACUACCACCUGGACUCUGUGAGAAGGAACAAGUUCAGUUCCACAGAAAUGAUACCCCAGGAACAGCUCCGCUGUAAAGGCUUCAGCGGGAUCCCUUUUCAUCUGCAUGUCAAAUGACGGCCAUUUUAUGGUCCCCCAGCCCAGACGAUUGAUGCUCAGCUCAGACAACUGAUAAACCCAUUAAACUAACGCAGUAGUAGACCAAACACUGCGCUCUGCUGACUUCUGUCCCAUAGGUGGUAGAUAAGUCAUCGAUUAGCUGGAUUUCAGCACUCCUUGGCACUUGUAUCUAUUGAUUAAUUUACUGUUUCAAACUACCAUGCGGGCAUAACCACACUCAAAACAAUUCUGGAACUAAGGUUUUACACAUUCUGAUGGUGUUCAAAUCAGUUGUAAUGGUAGCGAUGCACAUAAACAGUAAGAUAUAUAUAUAUAUAUAUAUAUCAUACACACACAUAAAUGCUACAGUGGUAAUUGACAGAUCGAUAGCAUGGUGAGAUAAUGAAUAGAAACAGUAGCUCACUAAAGAUAAGACUGUACACAAAAAAAAGCUCCUAACUGGUCGCGAAAGUGAUAAGAUACUGUCUGCCUACAGUCAAAGAAUUCUUCUUUUUUUUUUCAUCAUAUUUUAACCAUUUUAUAUGAGUAAUUUUGUAUGUAUAUUGAAGCCAGAGUUGUAGUGAAAUAAAACUCUCCUGUCAGAUUAAGAGACUGGGUGAAAAAAAUUGAUAAAGUCUCAAUGUCAUUGCUUUGUAGGUGAAGUGAUGUGGAAAUCUAUCCUCUGAUACUGACCUGAUAUUUGGGUUGAAUGAUUCACUAAGAAACAAUGGGUAGUGUAACUAUAGUAUUUACAAAAAGCUUUUCAACAUGAGGACCGAUGCACAAACAAGCACUGAUACAGUAAGCCGCUCUUCAGGUGGCCACUAACAUUUGUAUAUACAAUGUACCACAAUGAUGACAUAACAUGCGACUAUAGGUAUUUUC
rnacentral:lncRNA from 1 species